GGUUUUAUCUCAGGUCAAAUCUGGUGUUCUAUUUACUGCAACCAUCUAGCUGUGUUAUUUCAUCUGACUUCUCACACGUUUCUAUUCCAACCAAAUUGGCCAUCUGGCUGCCUUAGACUGCAUGCCAUUCCCAAAUCACUGCAUUUUUUGCAUUAUCAGAGGUCCUUUUUGUUUGGAAUACUCCCCAUAACUCUUAUGUUAUUCUUAAAUCCCUUCAAUGUAUAACUCAGAUACAACUUUCUCCAUAAGGUUUUUUUUCUGAUUCUCUCUCCCCUUCAAAAAAAUUAUUUAUCUUUAACAUUAUUUAUUAAAUUCUGAGUUCCAAAUUCUUUUCCUCUCUCAGCCCUGCCCUCAUCCCAUGAGGUGGUAAGCGUUAUGGACUUAUUUACAUAUGUGAAGUAAUAUGAAAUAUUCCUAUACUAGUCAUGUUGAAAAAAAGAAGAAAGUGAAAAAUACUAUAUUUUAUUUUGUACUCAGAAUUCAUCUGAUUUCUUCUCUUUCUCUGGGCAUGUGUGUUUCUCCUUCCUCCUUUUCCCUUUCUUUGUUUCUCUCUCAGCCUCUGUAUGUGUGUGCAUGUCUGUCUUUCUCUGCCUCUGUCUCUGUAUGUCUUUAAGAUCCCUUCCAGUUUUGACAGUCUGGGUUGAAAUUGAGGGAUGGAUGUGCACCCCUCCUAAUUUUCAUAAUAAACCAUCCUAAGUUUCAUAGGUAGCCUUGGGAGCCUCCAGAACCUGGUCUAGGGUGUUCAUGUGGUGUUACCAAGGAGAAUUGAGAAUGGAGAGCAAUAGCUUCUGCAGGGAGGUGUCCUGUGCUUUGUUUUUAAUGUUAACUCUUUGUUAUCUUCAGGUUACAAACGAAAAGGGGCAUGUAACAUAAAGAAUGGCACCUUCUGUAUACCUUGUGGUUCUGGAACCUACACCACACACAAGCAUGUCUUGAAGAAGUGUCUCCUCUGUAAAGUCUGUAACUCUGAGCUUGGUUUCGUGACCAUAAGGGAAUGUUCAAAUAUCUCCAACACUGUGUGCGGCUGUUCUCCAGGUUAUUUUUGUGCUGAUAUGAAAGAUGAUGACUGUGAACUGUGUGUGCCUCAUCAAGUUUGCAGCCCUGGCCAAUAUGUGAAAUCUAGAGGCACAGAAAGAAACAACACCAUCUGUGAAAAGUGCCAGGCAGGGACAUUUUCCACGAAUGGGACCCUGGACCGAUGUUUGCCAUGGACCAAUUGUGCUGCCCAGAAUAUGUCUGAAGAAAGGCCAGGCACUGCCAUCACUGAUGCACGGUGCUCACAGGAGAGUCACCAUCAAAACAUAUACUUUGUCAUCAUUCCCACUAUCAUUAUAAUAGCUUUCAUUUUGGUAUGAAAACUAUUGUCUAGAUGGAAAAAUACCCAAGAAGGAGCUUACAACACAAAUGGAAUGGUGAGGAGCUUUUUCCAAACUUAUGGAUUGAUAGCUGUACCAGAUCUAAAAUUAUAUUAUAAAGCAGCAGUUACUAAAAUCAUCUGGUAUUGGCUAAGAAAUAGACUAGUUGAUCAAUGGAAUAGGUUAGGUUCAAAGGACAAAACAGCCAAUAACCUUAAUAAUCUAGUGUUUGACAAACCCAAAGACCCCAGUUUUUGGGAUAAGAAUGCAGUAUUUGACAAAAAUUGCUGGGAAAAUUGGAAAUGAGUAUGGCAGAAACUGUGCAUACCUUUUGAUCCAGCAGUGUUUCUACUGGGCUUAUACCCCAAAGAGAUACUAAAGAAGGGAAAGGGACCUGUAUGUGCCAAAAUGUUUGUGGCAGCCCUGUUUGUAGUGGCUAGAAGCUGGAAAAUGAAUGGAUGCCCAUCAAUUGGAGAAUGGUUGAGUAAAUUGUGAUAUAUGAACAUCAUGGAAUAUUAUUGUUCUGUAAGAAAUGACCAGCAAGAUGAAUACAGAGAGGACUGGCGAGACUUACAUGAACUGAUGCUAAGAGAAAUGAGCAGAACCAGGAGAUCAUUAUAUACCUCAACAAUGAUACUGUAUAAGGAUGUAUUCUGAUGGAAGUAGAUCUCUUUGAUAAAGAGAUCUAAUUCAGUUUCAAUUGAUCAAGGAUGGACAGAAGCAGCUAUACCCAAAGAAAGAACACUGGGAAAUGAAUAUAAAUUGCUUGCAUUUUUGUUUUUCUUCCCGGGUUAUUUCUACCUUCUGAAUCCAAUUCUCCCUGUGCAACAAGAGAACUGUUCGGUUCUGCACACAUAUAUUGUAUCUAGGAUAUACUGUAACCUAUUUAACAUGUAAAGGACUGUUUGCCAUCUG